rnacentral:rRNA from 1 species
AUACGUAGGGGGCAAGCGUUAUCCGGAUUUACUGGGUGUAAAGGGAGCGUAGACGGCUAUGCAAGUCUGGUGUGAAAACCCGGGGCUCAACCCCGGGACUGCAUUGGAAACUGUGUAGCUAGAGUGUCGGAGAGGUAAGUGGAAUUCCUAGUGUAGCGGUGAAAUGCGUAGAUAUUAGGAGGAACACCAGUGGCGAAGGCGGCUUACUGGACGAUCACUGACGUUGAGGCUCGAAAGCGUGGGGAGCAAACAGGAUUAGGUACCCUGGUAGUCCACGCCGUAAACGAUGCAUACUAGGUGUCGGGAAGCAAAGCUUUUCGGUGCCGCAGCUAACGCAAUAAGUAUGCCACCUGGGGAGUACGUUCGCAAGAAUGAA